UGAAUCACAGGGCUACCUAAAUGUUUUGACCGGAUAUGAGGAUGGUUCCAUGGCUUGGUGGGAUGUAAGGAAUCCAGGGGUUCCAAUGAAUUCUGUUAAGUUUCAUAAAGAACCAGUUUUGAGCCUUUGUAUUGAUGCGG